rnacentral:rRNA from 1 species
CCUACGGGUGGCAGCAGUGAGGAAUAUUGGGCAAUGGGCGCAAGCCUGACCCAGCCACGUCGCGUGAAGGAAGACGGCCUUCCGGUUGUUAACUUCUUUUGUUAGGGAAGAGUAGUUAACGGUACCUGACGUAUUAGCCACGGCUAACUACGUGCCAGCAGCUGCGGUAAUACGUAGGUGGCGAGCGUUAUCCGGAUUUAUUGGGUGUAAAGGGAGUGUAGCUGGGUUGACAAGUCAGUUGUGAAAGCUUGCGGCUUAACCGUAAAACUGCAUUUGAAACUGGCAGUCUUGAGUACUGGAGAGGCAGGCGGAAUUCGUGGUGUAGCGGUGAAAUGCUUAGAUAUCACGAAGAACUCCAAUGGCGAAGGCAGCUUACUGGACAGCAACUGACAGUGAGGCGCGAAAGUGUGGGUAGCAAACAGGAUUAGAUACCCUAGUAGUC